rnacentral:rRNA from 1 species
UACGAAGGAUGCAAGCGUUAUCCGGAUUUAUUGGGUUUAAAGGGUGCGCAGGUUGUUUGAUAAGUCGGUGGUGAAAGUCUGUCGCUUAACGGUAGGAUUGCCAUUGAUACUGUUGGACUUGAAUAUGGAUGAGGUAGGCGGAAUGUGUAGUGUAGCGGUGAAAUGCAUAGAUAUUACACAGAACACCGAUUGCGAAGGCAGCUUACUAAUCCAUCAUUGACGCUGAGGCACGAAAGCGUGGGGAUCAAACAGGAUUA